AACGAACGCUGGCGGCAUGCCUAACACAUGCAAGUCGAACGAGACCUUCGGGUCUGGUGGCGCACGGGUGCGUAACGCGUGGGAACCUGCCCUUAGGUUCGGAAUAACUCUCCGAAAGGGGUGCUAAUACCGGAUAAUGUCUUCGGACCAAAGAUUUAUCGCGUUUGGAUGGGCCCGCGUUGGAUUAGCUAGUGGGUAGGGUAAAAGCCUACCAAGGCGACGAUCCAUAGCUGGUCUGAGAGGAGGAUCAGCCACACUGGGACUGAGACACGGCCCAGACUCGUACGGGAGGCAGCAGUGGGGAAUAUUGGGCAAUGGGCGAAAGCCUGAUCCAGCCAUGCCGGGUGAGUGAUGAAGGCCUUAGGGUUGUAAAGCUCUUUUACCCGGGAUGAUAAUGACGGUACCAGGAGAAUAAGCUCCGGCUAACUCCGUG
rnacentral:rRNA from 1 species